rnacentral:rRNA from 1 species
CGGUUUAAUUGGAUUCAACGCCGGAAAUCUUACCGGACCGACAGCAAUAUGAAGGCCAGGCUGAAGACUUUGCCGGAUUAGCUGAGAGGUGGUGCAUGGCCGUCGUCAGUUCGUACUGUGAAGCAUCCUGUUAAGUCAGGCAACGAGCGAGACCCACGCCCACAGUUGCCAGCGUACUCUCUGGAGUGACGGGUACACUGUGGGGACCGCCGCUGCUAAAGCGGAGGAAGGAAUGGGCAACGGUAGGUCAGUAUGCCCCGAAUAUCCCGGGCUACACGCGAGCUACAAUGGUUGGUACAAUGGGUAUCUACCCCGAAAGGGGACGGGAAUCUCCUAAAACCAAUCUUAGUUCGGAUUGAGGGCUGCAACUCGCCCUCAUGAAGCUGGAAUCCGUAGUAAUCGCGUUUCAACAGAACGCGGUGAAUACGUCCCUGCUCCUU